GAGGACACAGGUUCAAUAUGAUUUAUGAGAACACUUCAGUGAAAUGCACACCUCUACUUUCUCCCCAAAACUGCCUUGUUGUAACAGCCUGGCAGUUCUGCCAUGCUGUCCAUAAAUGCUGUCCAUCACAGCCCUCUUCCUCUGCUGCAGAGGAGUGAAGUGAGCUCAUUUCUUCUGCCAUUUUAGCAGAAAUUUUACACAGCUCUUUCAAUGUCUAUCUAUGGACAGAGAGGAGGACAGAGUUUUCCCUUGUGCCUCUCAACUAGAUACUUGAGAGAAGGUUCAUCUUAUAAAGUGCUGAAGAGGUUUUCAAUUCUCUAAAACAUAACUGAACGUGAAAUUACAUUUUUAUAAGACCUUGUUUCUUAUUGUAUCAUUUGUGAUGCCUCUGUGGGUAGAGGGUGUAUAUGAAAGUCUACUUAAAGAAAAUCCAAACCACACAGGUGGAGACCACAUCAAGGAAUGACUCUUGGCUCUUUCAAUGCCAAAUUUAAGCAUGUUCUUACAGCAGAAAAAAAUAUGUUAAGAAACAUUGCUUUCACACACUUCCAUUUAUUCCAGAAAUAAUUUCUGGACUCAAUCAGGUUUGUUUCUAUAUUUUUUCUCUUUAUCAGAAACUCUGCUUUCCUCUAUGAUGUAUGGUUUUUGGGAUUUGU